rnacentral:misc_RNA from 1 species
GAUGGCUGGAGUGGCAACAUCUCGACUUGGCUUGUGGAUGUUUGACUUAUCUGUCAUCCAACAAAUGCAGGAUCAAGUUUCUGAAUCUGAUCGUUGUGUUGUGGGAGGUGUCCAGAAUUCUCUUCAGUCUAUUCUAGACUUGUUAGGUUAUGUGAUGGGAAUAAUCAUCUCCAAUCCACAGGUAAUUAUCCUUAUUCAUAACAUAUAUUCACAUGUUUGCUAUUGUACAAGAGAUGGUAAACUAAAAUCAGUUCUUCCUUUCAAGCUUUCAUGCUUUACAUCCAAAUUAUAACUCUCUUUUGUUGCUGUAUUGAUAUUCAGGAUUUCUGGAAAUUGACUUUAUUAUCAUUUUCAGCGGUAACAUUGGCUGCAUUACUCUACAGCAUUUAUCUAUUUCGUGUUCGGAAGCACCUCUUCCACUUUGAGAAGCUAAAAUGUUGGUAAAAGAAUGUAUGAAUUCUGGUUGGUAUACAGUGCGCACAUAAAGGUCCUGGUGCAACUUAGUGUUUUCUUUCUUAUUUAUCUGCUAAUGAUAUAGGUAAUGAAUGAUUAGAGAUUCUUAAUCAGUACUUCUUGUGAUUCAUUCUCACUGAUGAGAUAAAAGAGUCUGUUCUUCUAUUAAAAUACGUGGAUCAUCUCUUGGGUGAAGAUACUUUCUUGUUGCCAAGAAGACCAGGCAAUUAAUGUGUACUGCUUUAAGAUCAAACAAGUAGGCACCCUUCCAGGGUGCUGCAAAUAAAAUUCAAGCUUGGAAAAGGGAUCCUCCUGUCUCUGGCAGGGAGGGAGGUUAUGGUUAAAUCAGUUGUUCAAGUCAUUUCCUACUAUGGGCUUUUGGAUUGUACAACUGGUUUAAUAAAGCCCGCUCUCCAUAUGUUGGACUUCAUGCAAGCUUCUAAAGUUACUAAAGGCUCGUGGGUUAGUUUAGUAUGCACUCCAACAUGGUCUCAUAUGGAAUAUAAAGAGUAGAUUCACUGAGUUACGUGUUGUUUUUGUCAAAGCUUUUAUCUAUUCUGGCUUGAAACCUUGUAAUAGGCUACUCAUUUCCCUUUGUCGCUCAUAAACUGCAAUAAAGGCCACUGUCAC